AAAAUGUCCAACAUGCCGAUGUCCGAUUGGUGGUAAAAACCAUGAAGCAGAAGCAGGAAAUCGUCCGCUUAAAGACGAAGAAAUUGACGAAAGGGAUGCAAGAGAUAUAGGGUACAUCCUAGAUGAAUCAAAAAGAGGGCGCAUGAAACCAGAAAGGCAGCUUACAUAUCUAUCUAGUGCAAUACUGCGAUUCUUAUUACACUCUGCGAUGCUUUUUGGUUGGAAAAGAAAUAAAAAGGCUAUUGAAAAUCUGAUGAGAAAAAAGACAAAAAAUAUUGAAGAUUUUUUUAUGCAACAAAUAAAGGCAGACUUAUCCAGAAUAAAAGACGAAUUUGCGCUUUCCCACGAAGACGCUUACUUACUUCUCCAUUGCAUGACUCGAAAAAUGGCCGAAAA